UGCAUAUCAAUAAGCGGAGGAAAAGAAACUAACAAGGAUUCCCUUAGUAACGGCGAGCGAACCGGGAACAGCCCAGCUUGAAAAUCGGAUGACCUCGUCGUUCGAAUUGUAAUCUGGAGAAGCGUCCUCAGCGGCGGACCGGACCCAAGUCCCCUGGAAGGGGGCACCAGAGAGGGUGAGAGUCCCGUUGUGCCCGGACCCUGUCGUACCACGAGGCGCUGUCAUCGAGUCGGGUUGUUUGGGAAUGCAGCCCCAAUCGGGCGGUAAAUUUCGUCCAAGGCUAAAUAUUGACGAGAGACCGAUAGCAAACAAGUACCGCGAGGGAAAGAUGAAAAGGACUUUGAAAAGAGAGUCAAAGAGUGCUUGAAAUUGUCGGGAGGGAAGCGGAUGGGGGCCGGCGAUGCACCUCGGUCGGAUGUGGAACGGUUUAUAGCCGGUCUACCAAUCGGCUCGGGGUGUGGACCAGUGUCGAUUGGGACGGAGGCCCAAGCCCAGGCUUUUGUUACGCCUGUGGAGACGCCUUCUUCUCGAUCGUUCUUUGCAGUGUGAGCCAUUUGGCGUGCUUCGGCAUCAUCACGCUCAAGC
rnacentral:rRNA from 1 species